AUUGAGACUGAUCGCUGGCCUUUCUGGGCACGAUGCACGUCCCUCUCCCCCCCUCCUGCCUUCGAAGCCCUGAACUUCUCAACACCUGUGUGCACCCACUGUAGGUCCUUCGGGAUCUAUGUCUUCUCUUUCGAACUCGCAUGUCUACAGAAUGUAUGCGUCGCGUCGGCGACGGCAAACCUUGUACAACUUUCAGCAAUGGAUCUCUUGGCUCUCGCAUCGAUGAAGGACGCAGCGAAUCGCGAUAAGUAAUGUGAAUUGCAGAUUUUCCGUGAAUCAUCGAAUCUUUGAACGCACCUUGCGCUCCUCGGUAUUCCGAGGAGCAUGCCUGUUUGAGUGUCAUCGAAAUCUCGAACCAAAGUCUCUCGACCCCGUCGGAGCUCNGUUUCGGACGUUGGGAGCGUGCGGGCGGCGACGUCNGCUCUCCUCAAAGGCAUUAGCUGUGGGCGCGAGCCUCGCAUGGCACGGCCGCUUCGACGUCGUAAUGAUCGUCGUGGGCUGGAAGUGCGUGGAUCGACAUGUUCCCCAUGCUUCGCAACCUUCUGUGAGUUCGUCCGUCGUGCGGACGACCGCAGGUAUCAAGGCUUGACCUCAAAUCAGGUAGGACUACCCGCUGAACUUAAGCAUAU
rnacentral:rRNA from 1 species